AGUAAAUGGAGGCCAACCCCGAUGGUCUUAUACCUGUGCAGUUUUCCUAGACGAGUUUAUGAGACUCCACAAAUCACUGUACGGCCUUAAACAGAGUGGACGCGAAUGGAACGAGAGACUGAAUGCCGUGCUAUUGGAGAUUGGUUUCACUCCUUGUCCUAGUGAACCUUGUUUGUACGUGCAAAGUUGAUGACAAUCUGGGUCUAAUUGUGGUGUACGUGGAUGACUUGAUCAUAGCGAGCUCCAACAAAGAUGACCUAAACGAGAUCAAGUUGCUUAUCUCCAAGAAGUUUGACGUGGUCGACGGCGGCGAUCUUAAACAUUUCCUUGGCAUGGAAAUUGAGAGAGAGAGUGAAACUGGAAGUAUCAAAAUUGGACACAAGCAGUAUGUGGAGACACUCCUUAACGAUUACGGAAUGCAAAAUUGUAAGCCAAGCCGUAUUCCAUUGGAGGCUGGCCAUCAGAUAAAAUGCGACGACGAGGGAUGUGAUCGUGUGAAUAAGGAAUCUUAUCAGUCAUUGAUUGGGUCCCUUCUGUAUCUGGCGAUGACGACUCGACCAGACAUAUUGCAUUCUACUGUGAAGUUGGCACAGCGGAAUGCAGAUCCUCAUAAGGAGCACGAGGCGGCUGCCAAGCGUAUCUUACGCUACCUGAGGGGCACUUCCGAGAAGAAACUACACUACAGAAGAACUGGGCAGAGCAUUCACUGCUUCGGUGAUGCAGACUGGGCUGGCGAUUCUUCAGAUCGCAAAUCAUAUACUGGAUGGGCGUUUUUUGCUGCUGGUGCUGCCUUUAGUUGGGAAUCCAAAAAGCAAAGUAUUGUAGCUCUGAGCAGCACAGAGGCCGAAUAUAUAGCUCUCUCCUCGGCUGCCAAAGAGGCGGUCUAUAUCAGGAAGCUGGUUGCCGAAAUGGGUUUCGGAGAUGUCAAGACUGUGCAGAUCUAUAGCGACAACCAAAGUUCGCAAUGCUUAGUUAAAAAUCCUAGGUUCCAUACAAGAAGCAAACACAUUGACAUUAAGUAUCAUCAUGUAAGAGAUAUAUAUAAGGAUAAAAUUGUAAGCAUUAGUUAUGUUCCCACUGAAGACAUGAUAGCGGAUGUGUUAACAAAGAACUUAAGUAGAAUUAAGCAUAAUAGAUGUAUUAAGCUAAUGGGAAUGUUUUGAGUGAAUAUGUAAACAUACAACGUUGAGAAGGAGUGUUGAAUAUAUAAUGAACAUAUAUGUAUAAUGAACAACGAUGUAUGUAUAUAAGAAACUUGUGUACUCAAACACUCAAGUUGCCUGCGAGCAACGGUUAAUUCCUUUUUGAGUGUUUUCGCUACUAAUCGGCGAUCACUCUUUGUUCGCAUAUUUUGACGCUGCCUGUGUGCAGCAAGUAUACAUAAUUUGAAUUCAGUUACCAUAAAACCUCUGCGCUGUAAACACGUUUAAUAGUCCCAUUAUAAGGACACUAGCUUCUUAAAUGGACAAAUUGCGUCUAGCAAUAAUGCGAUUGAGCAAUAACAGGUCUGUGAUGCCCUGUGCUGCACGCGCGCUACAAUGAAUGUAUCAACGUGUAUUUGCUAGACCGAGAGGUCCGGAUAAACCGCUGAACCACUUUCAUGCUUGGGAUUGUGAACUGAAACUGUUCACAUGAACUUGGAAUUCCCAGUAAGUGUGAGUCAUUAACUCGCAUUGAUUACGUCCCUGCUCUUUGUACACACCGCCCGUCGCUACUACCGAUUGAAUUAUUUAGUGAGGUCUCCGGGCGUGAUCACUGUGACGCCUUGCGUGUUACGGUUGUUUCGCAAAAGUUGACCGAACUUGAUUAUUUAGAGGAAGUAAAAGUCGUAACAAGGUUUCCGUAGGUGAACCUGCGGAAGGAUCAUUA
rnacentral:ncRNA from 1 species